UAGACAAGAAACUUAAUGUAUUAUGGUUUCGGCCCAUAAAAAGGCAUACUUAUGCCCUUGUUUU
rnacentral:tRNA from 1 species